UACGAAGGGGGGCUAGCGUUGCUCGGAAUGACUGGGCGUAAAGGGCGCGUAGGCGGCUUGCACCGUCAGAUGUGAAAUUCCUGGGCUUAACCUGGGGGCUGCAUUUGAUACGUGUGGGCUUGAGUGCGGAAGAGGGUCGUGGAAUUCCCAGUGUAGAGGUGAAAUGCGUAGAUAUCGUAAGGAAGACCAGUGGCGAAGGCGGGUCUCUGGACAGUUCCUGACGCUGAGGCACGAAGGUCAGGGGGAGCAAACGGGG
rnacentral:rRNA from 1 species